ensembl:snRNA U6 U6 spliceosomal RNA
GUGCUCGCUUCUGCAGCACCUACACUAAAACUGGAAGAUUAGCAUGGCCCCCGUGCAAAGAGGACAUGCAAAUUUGUGAUGUGUUCCAUAUUUUU